CCGGAUUAACUCAGGUAAGGGGGGUUUAUCAUCGGUUAACGGGUAUUAUAUGAUAAUAUGUCAUGGGUAGUGAUAGACCAUUGUUUUACCUCUGAUUAGAUUGUUGUAUGCUGGAAAUCUGAAUUUUUGGGAUGAACGAAAUUGGGUGAUAAUCGAAAGAAAUUCGUAGGAAUUGUAUGUGAUAAUGUUAGGAGUUGUGAAAUAGAAUAGGGAAUGAUUCGGGUUAGAUGAUAUGAGUGAUUUCUGAGUAAAUGUGGACUGUGGAAGGUUAGAUCGAAUAGAACUCGUAGCAGGAAAAACCAU
rnacentral:lncRNA from 1 species